rnacentral:rRNA from 1 species
UACGAAGGGUGCAAACGUUGCUCGGAAUUACUGGGCGUAAAGCGCACGUAGGCGGAUUUGUAAGUCAGGGGUGAAAUCCCGGGGCUCAACCUCGGAACUGCCUUUGAUACUGCAAGUCUCGAGUCCGAUAGAGGUGAGUGGAAUUCCUAGUGUAGAGGUGAAAUUCGUAGAUAUUAGGAAGAACACCAGUGGCGAAGGCGGCUCACUGGAUCGGUACUGACGCUGAGGUGCGAAAGCGUGGGGAGCAAACAGG